UACCGAGGGGGCAAGCGUUGUUCGGAAUUACUGGGCGUAAAGGGCGCGUAGGCGGCCUGCUAAGUCGAACGUGAAAUCCCCGGGCUCAACCCGGGAACUGCGUCCGAUACUGGUAGGCUUGAAUUCGGGAGAGGGAUGCGGAAUUCCAGGUGUAGCGGUGAAAUGCGUAGAUAUCUGGAGGAACACCGGUGGCGAAGGCGGCAUCCUGGACCGACAUUGACGCUGAGGCGCGAAAGCCAGGGGAGCAAACGGG
rnacentral:rRNA from 1 species